GGAUGUACGGCUCUACCUUUGUUAGGAGUGUAUGGAAUCGGUAGCCAUGACGGAAUGUACUUGCACUUAUUCUCAUAUCGUAGUUUCUAUAAUCAUCUUCAUGGGCAUAUUGUAGUUACGUACUAUUGUUGUACGGCUCCCGUAGACAUCUCUCCUAUUUAGCCAAUCUUUGCACCACACUCUCGUCUUUUUCUUUGAACUUACGCAAAUUAUUAUGCAGCACGACAGGUUUUCUGAGCAAUACUAGUCAACAUGUUUUUCGUGCGACACACGGCAGUGUACUGGCAUCAUCGUCGGACUUGGGUAAGUCCACCCAUUUGUCAACUCUGCCGUGUGGACAACACUCAUUGGUAAGCCCGGCAGAAUUUGCCCACCGACCGCGCUCCACGGCGAUCACGCCCGCUCUUCUGGACAGGAGAGAGAGAAAGAGAGAGGGAGAGAUUGCAUGCCAGUGCUUCUACAUGCCACGCCCCCUUUUUUAAAGCCACCAAUCACAGAGGCUAUUUUCUCGUUGCACUUGCACCUGGCGAGGCGCUCAGUGAACACGAGUCUGCGGCCUGCGCGACCACUCCAUUCGCCUGCCGUCUUCCACAGCAAAAGCACGAACACCAAAAUAUUCCUACAGUUGAGAAGAAUUAAGUGUCUGGACAUUAUUCCUCUUCUCCACUAAGGUUCUUGCGAGGUGCUCAUCGAACAUAAUGAGGUUCCUUCAAGUAAAAAUCAUGACUCUCCUGUCUUUGGUCCUGCUGGGAGGAGAAGUUGCUGGAAGUGUGGCAGGAUCUCGCAUCAAACGUCAGUCUGGAAAUCCUCCUCCGCUGCAGCCGGCAGCCAACUACGAUCAGAGGAAUCACGGAUGCAAUGACGACUGUCUCGUGAGAGAUGAUGAUUCAGGCUCUUGCGUGGCAAAUGUCGAUUGUUGCAAAAAGGAUUUUAGCGGCCAUGACUUCGAUUGUUGCGAAGGGGGCUGGAAAGCCAAAGGCUGUCGUUAACCAUAAAAGCAAUUUACCUGCUUUUGUUUGUUACCGGCUCCGUUCGAGAGAUGCUCUUACAAUAGCAUAGUCUCAUGAUCAGAGAGUUCAGCCGGUAGUGUUCAUUCUUAUUCAUUCAGUAACUAUUGCUUUUCAUUGGGGGGAGGGGGGGGGCGAGAAAAGUCGUUAUGACCAACUGCCACUUGCACCAGACUACUAAGUUGUGUUGUCCUUCUGUUAAAUUCGUUUUUAAGAGAUGAUGGGGAAACUAACGUCACUUUUGAAUUGUCAUUUUCAUCCAGUAUUAGUUGAGUGUAUAGUCGACAUACGCAGGGCAAAAUCCUAAAAUGUCCCUAAAAAAAUUCUAAACCAAGUUUAAUACAGUGAUGGAAAAGGAAAACACGAUUUCAAAUAUAGGGUUAUAAUAACUGACAAUACAUCAUAAUUCUACGUUUCUCGGGAUAUCUGAAAGACUCACUGGUAAAAUUCUCCUUGUGAAAUGGAUUUUUUCAAACUAUGAUUUUUUUUUUUUGGCCAGUGAAAUCUAGCUUUAGGAUAAUACGAAACUUCCUACAAAAUCGGUGUUAAAACUGGAAGUAUUAAUACUUAUCUUUUAACUAAUGGUUUAGUCAUAUGACAGAAAAUGUCAUAAUCUUUGUUUAUCCUUCACAAACCAUUUUAAACUAGUUUCUUGAGAGACAAAGGCGAUUUUCGGCUGUAGUAUGUUCACCAGUGUACCAUUGUGGUAUGGCUUAUAGUCUCAUUAAGCGUGACCUUAUAACAAUGCAUUAAACGUUUAUCUCAAAUGUGGGAUUUGUGUAUCACUUAAUGUUCUGUUUAUUUGUAACAUUGUUUCCUUCAUAAAUUGUAAUCAGUCUGAUUUUGAAAGCAAUAAAAUGAAGUAUGUGU